GCCUGGCUGGCUCAGUUGGAAGAGCAUUUGACUCUUGAUCUUAGGGUUGUGAGUUCAAGCCCCGUGCUGGGUG
rfam:Ailuropoda melanoleuca scaffold977_5, whole genome shotgun sequence.